AAACAUCAGCUUUUCGAACGUCGAACAUAUUAAGUUGGUAUGUUUCUCAUUCUAAAGUUCAAGCCGACUCUCAAGUAGAAAUCAAACGCGAGAACACACAGUCUUUAUUUCAUCUGGAGCGGCAUCCUUGAGGUCUAUUAGUUCCUGCACGAAAGCACGGCUCCAUUAUCAGUAUAUCUACUGUUAUACCAAUGCGGAAUGCACAUCUGAUCAGGCCUGCGGAGGUCCAUGUCCAAUGUACAACGAAGACCUUUCUACCAUCGUCUGGACGUGCUACAACCAAACCUGUGUUUGCUAUAGCACUCAAUAUAUUAUCGCUUGAAUAACACAGACGUUUUUACUGUAACAAUACAAAAGUUUAGCAGUU